rnacentral:rRNA from 1 species
UACGGAGGGUGCGAGCGUUGUCCGGAAUCACUGGGCGUAAAGGGCGCGUAGGUGGCGGGAUAAGCGUGCGGUGAAAGCCCGGGGCUCAACCCCGGGUCGGCCGUGCGGACUGUCUUGCUUGAGCGUAGUAGGGGCAGGUGGAAUUCCGGGUGUAGCGGUGGAAUGCGUAGAGAUCCGGAAGAACACCGGUGGCGAAGGCGGCCUGCUGGGCUACAGCUGACACUGAUGCGCGACAGCGUGGGGAGCAAACAGG